rnacentral:misc_RNA from 1 species
GAAAUGCGAUAAGUAGUGUGAAUUGCGGAAUUCAGUGAAUCAUCGAAUCUUUGAACGCACAUUGCGCCCCUUGGUAUUCCAUGGGGCAUGCCUGUUCGAGCGUCAUUUGUACCCUCAAGCUCUGCUUGGUGUUGGGUGUUUGUCCCGUCUCCGCGCGUGGACUCGCCCCAAAGUGAUUGGCAGCCGGCGUACUGGUCCCGGAGCGCAGCACAUGUCGCGCAAACGAGUGCCUUGGUACGGCGGCGUCCAUAAGCCCCUCUCUCACGCUCUUGACCUCGGAUCAGGUAGGGAUACCCGCUGAACUUAAGC